CCAGUCUUUCAGAAAAGGAGCCCCGGCCUUCAUGAGGUUAUAGGCAACAGGGCUCCUCUGCCUGAGUGAGCUCAUUUCCCCACCAUCCUCCAGCCUGGAAAGGUGCUGUGGGCGUGAAGCCAGCCCUUCAGGACCAGCCCUGUGUUUCUCCUGGAAAGUGGCCCAGCCUCCUCCACUGUCACCUCACAUUCCUGUCUGUGGGCCCCUGGCCUCAGAGAGCUGAACUUCAUCACCCAGUCCCCAGAGCCGGCAAGACAUGGGCCCCAUUUACCAAGCCCUGACGCCUUUCAUUUAACCAGAAGACGUGGAGGG
rnacentral:lncRNA from 1 species